CCAGCGCGCUUGCGCCGGCAGGGUUUGGUCCCUGAGGCUCCCUUGCUUGGACCUGGGAACCGGGGCUUCUGAAGGCUGGAGACUGCGGAUUGCAGAAAGCCCAUCAUCUCACAGGAUUAUGUGAAGAAGGUGCACAGGGAAGAAAGAACCGACCUGGGCCAAAGUGAAAUGAGAAGCCUCGUGUCCCAUGUACCAAGUACUUGUUUACUGGCUCUCCUGCAGCAUUGUCUGUAAUCAUUUUUAGAAAAGGGAUGGGGUGGGUAAAAGAAAUCAUCCAGUGGAGUCUUA